GCCUGGCAGCUCUGUGGUAGGGCAACCCCGUGGUAAGGGGAGGUCGUCGGUUCAAACCCGACGUUGGGCU
rnacentral:tRNA from 1 species